GACGAACGCUGGCGGCGUGCUUAACUCAUGCAAGUCGAACGGAAAGGCCCUGCUUUUGUGGGGUGCUCGAGUGGCGAACGGGUGAGUAACACGUGAGUAACCUGCCCUUGACUUUGGGAUAACUUCAGGAAACUGGGGCUAAUACCGGAUAGGGGCUCCUGCUGCAUGGUGGGGGUUGGAAAGUUUCGGCGGUUGGGGAUGGACUCGCGGCUUAUCAGCUUGUUGGUGGGGUAGUGGCUUACCAAGGCUUUGACGGGUAGCCGGCCUGAGAGGGUGACCGGCCACAUUGGGACUGAGAUACGGCCCAGACUCCUACGGGAGGCAGCAGUGGGGAAUAUUGCACAAUGGGCGGAAGCCUGAUGCAGCAACGCCGCGUGCGGGAUGACGGCCUUCGGGUUGUAAACCGCUUUCGCCUGUGACGAAGCGUGAGUGACGGUAAUGGGUAAAGAAGCACCGGCUAACUACGUG
rnacentral:rRNA from 1 species